ACAUUUUCCUUUAAAUAAUCCCCGCCCAGCUGGCAACUUACUUGCUUUUUUCUUCCUUGCUGUCAUUGAGAGAAGACAAAAUGGUUCCUCCGGUGCCAGUGUCCCCUUUGAUAAAGUUCACCAGAUAUUCAGCAUUACUGCUUGGAAUAGUGUAUGGAAGUAGACGACUUGCAUAUUUAAAACCAAUUGCUGAAGAGGAAAGGAAGAUAGAAUUAGAGGAGAAAACCAAGCGAGAGGAAGCAGAACGCAUAGCAAAAGAGCUGGCAGCAGCCAAUGAAGACACUAUUUUGAAAUAAUCUGUCCAUAUGUGAACAUGGUGCACAAGUAUGACAUUGAAAGUAAACUGAGACCCAUUCAUAUUUUACGGCUUUCGCUUAAAAAUUCCUUUUGUUAAUGUGUUGGUUUAUUGCUGUAAAUCCAAUUUUAUAUGCUAAGCAUAUAAUUCAAAUAAAAUGGUAAAAUGUC